rfam:Lysobacter daejeonensis GH1-9 contig74, whole genome shotgun sequence.
GUCGAGAGCAUCGCGCCCGAGGCCCACGCUUAUCAGUUCGAGGGAAACCUCGAUCAACUGUCCGGGCGCAGGACGCGAGAUCCGGCGUGCGGCCCCUGCUGAAUUACGGUGGUGCUGACACCGAGGCGUUAUCGGGCGCGCACGCCGGGCUCUCGGCACCUA